rnacentral:rRNA from 1 species
UANGGAAUCUUGGACAAUGGGGGCAACCCUGAUCCAGCAAUGCCGCGUGAGUGAUGAAGGCCUUAGGGUUGUAAAGCUCUUUUACCCGGGAUGAUAAUGACAGUACCGGGAGAAUAAGCUCCGGCUAACUCCGUG